CAAGGAGGAGCAAGGCGUGUCUGUGCUUCAUGGUAUAAUGAUGGACUACCAUUAUUGGCAUGCUGGUAGAAGCUUGGGACCUAAACCGAAGAGUAAAUGAGCAAAAAUCCAAAAAUGCAAGUUCUGAGAAUGUGGAUUGUGAUCAUUUGUGUGAGCGGCACAAUUUAUUCAGAGGAAACCCAAGAAUUAUUGCAUGACCUGAAUGCAAUCCUGGAAAUAAACUCUGACGCACCUGAAAUAGAAAUGGCUACCAGUCAUUCAUCAGGGACUGAUUCAGGGGAGAGGAUUUUGGAUCAGCUUAUCACUGGAACAGAAGUGCAGCCCCAACUGGAAUCAGAAAGAAAGACGGAUCAGAGGAAAGCUGAUCCUAAAAAGCUAGAGGUUGUCAGAGGAAGGAGAAGUGCUUGGGGCAGGAGAAGACACGCUGCUACAGUAGAGGCCGCUGCAUAUCAAAUAGCCGGAUUAAGGCAACCUCUGAAAGGCUGGAGACAGAGUGCUAAGGGAGAGAUGGAAACUAGCCUCCUUAUGGCGACACUGAAGGAACUUCAUGCGGAAAAGAAACGACUGAUGGAUAAUGGAAAAACACAAGAGGAAGAGGAGGAGGAAGGUGAG